rnacentral:rRNA from 1 species
AUGGCUCCCCCUACGCCGUCCUCGUCUCAGAUGCCGGUUAUGGACGCACGGAUGAGGCUGAUAAUCCAGGCGGCAGCACUGAUUAGUGUGAUUCAGGCAUGGGUCAUGUUCAUGCACCAGAGAGUUGUUCGUCGUGCUGGGAGACCUUUGAUUCGCUAUGGUCCAUUGUUUCCCCGGGAACAGGAGAGGAUCCAAAAUCUGAACGACAUCUACAACUGCAAUGACGUCGAGGCUCUGUGGAUGCUUAGAAUGAAAAGAGCACCACUUGCCAGGCUUGUUGAGACCUUCAGGAGUAGGGGGCUAUUACAAGAUAGUAUCAACACCAGUGUCGAAGAGCAAGUGGCCAUGUUCCUUCAUGUUGUUGGCCAUAACCAGAGGUUCAGGGUCAUUCACAACACGUUCAGGAGAUCAAUGGAGACCAUCUCUAGGUACUUCAAGCACGUGCUUUUUUCUAUUGGGGAGCUUAGAGGAGAGAUGAUCAGGAGACCAUCUGGUCAGACUCCACCCAAGAUUGGCGGAAGCCCAAGAUGGUAUCCAUACUUCAAGGACUGCAUUGGGACAAUAGAUGGUACUCAUGUCACUGCCAGAGUUCCUAGGUAA